rnacentral:rRNA from 1 species
GACGAACGCUGGCGGCGUGCUUAACACAUGCAAGUCGAACGGAAAGGCCCUGCUUUUGUGGGGUGCUCGAGUGGCGAACGGGUGAGUAACACGUGAGUAACCUGCCCUUGACUUUGGGAUAACUUCAGGAAACUGGGGCUAAUACCGGAUAGGAGCUCCUGCUGCAUGGUGGGGGUUGGAAAGUUUCGGCGGUUGGGGAUGGACUCGCGGCUAUCAGCUUGUUGGUGGGGUAGUGGCUUACCAAGGCUUUGACGGGUAGCCGGCCUGAGAGGGUGACCGGCCACAUUGGGACUGAAAUACGGCCCAGACUCCUACGGGAGGCAGCAGUGGGGAAUAUUGCACAAUGGGCGGAAGCCUGAUGCAGCAACGCCGCGUGCGGGAUGACGGCCUUCGGGUUGUAAACCGCUUUCGCCUGUGACGAAGCGUGAGUGACGGUAAUGGGUAAAGAAGCACCGGCUAACUACGUG